rnacentral:lncRNA from 1 species
AAAACUAUGUCAAACUACACGUACAGAAGAUGGAAAUCUUCUGCUUAUUUCAUAUGAAAUGAAGUGCAUAACAGGCCUUGUUAAAGCCGGAAACAGUAAGAUAUUGCCGAGUUGAAAUUCAUUAUGAGAAUGAAUAUGCCAAAGGAUUGAAGUUGCCCUGUGGAGAAAAGAUAGAUUUCUUCAACGUCUAAUCAACCUCGUUUCUCCCAUCAUGACAGAUAAAGCCCUAAUCACACCACCUCCAACUGGCGGCCGGCUGAGGCGGCCAGUCGAAGGCCGGGCCGUGGUUGAGGUGGCAUUAGCUAAGAG